GUCGUGAGAUGUUGGUUAGUCCGCAACGAGCGCAACCCCUACUUGUUAGUUUGCCAUCAUUCAGUUGGGCACUCUAGCGAGACUGCCGGUAAUAAACCGGAGGAAGGUGGGGAGUGACGUCAAAUCAUCAUGCCCCUUAUGACCUGGGCUACACACGUGCUACAAUGGUUGGUACAACGAGUUGCGAGUCGGUGACGGCGAGCUAAUCUCUUAAAGCCAAUCUCAGUUCGGAUUGUAGGCUGCAACUCGCCUACAUGAAGUCGGAAUCGCUAGUAAUCGCGGAUCAGCACGCCGCGGUCGAAUACGUUCCCGGGCCUU
rnacentral:rRNA from 1 species